UAGGGAAUUUUCGUCAAUGGGCGCAAGCCUGAACGAGCGAUGCCGCGUGAGUGAAGAAGGCCUUGGUCGUAAAGCUCUGUUGCGGGGGAAAAAAGGCAGCAUCAGGAAAUGGGUGCUGACUGAUGGUGCCCCGCCAG
rnacentral:rRNA from 1 species